ensembl:lncRNA
GGCUUCAUAACUUUGGCACACGCAGCUUUAAAAUAAGGAAAUCGAUGAGCAAGAGAGAAUGUAUCUGACAUCAGUCACUGCAUUUAAUACAUUAAUUUCUUCACUAGAUUAAUCAGCUAUUGAUCAUCCUUCAGCUUUCCGAGAAGCUGAGCACGUGGGGGCUGCACGAGGAGCUCUGCCCACCAGAAAGCUCUGGGGUGGGGACCGAGCACUGCCAGCGCCCCCAGCAGCGCCCUAUGGGCUGAAUGCAUUGAAUGGGAGGUGAUCCCAACCACCACCACCACCCCCAAGCAGUGCCCUAUGGGCUGAAUGCAUUGAAUGGGAGGUGAUCCCAACCACCACCACCCCCAACAGCAGUGCCCUAUGGGCUGAGUGGCUGCACCAGAGGGCGAUCCCAGUGGCCCCAUCCCCCAGGGCUGGCAGGGCUGAGCCUGCUCUGUUUGCCCAACUGUUUUCUUGGCUUCUCAGCUGAACCUGUGGCAGAGCUCUCUGCAGUGAGCACUGUGAGAUGUGUGAAACCCUUCUGAGAUGUCCACCACCGUUAAUCAUUAAACUUCCAACGAACCCAAAGAGCUGAACUGCAGCAAACCCAAUGCACCCACAGGCAGUGGACCAAACCGGAGUGAACCCCAUGACUUCUGGCAGCCAACACGGAGCAGAGGGGCUGUGCUCUCCUUCCAGACCUGCUCAGUCCUUCUGCAAUGGCACCGUCUCCACGUUUUUGGGGGUGGUACUGAGAGCAGAAUCACACUCGGCCCUUUCACGGUGUGAGUGCAGACCUGACCUCUGCCUCCUCCACUCCAAAGUGAAGUAUCCAUAAACCAUUUGGAUGGAAAAUUGAAGUGCUUUGCACAGAAGGGGAGGGCAAGAAAUCACCAUUUGGAGACAAGCAACAGUUCGUAACCUCAGCCUGGUGAGGGCUCUGAUUUACACCCGGACUGCUUAUCUCCGUGCCAUUGCUCACCCGCUGCUUCCCCUUCCCAGCACCCUGCCAGCAGCACAGCUGUCGUCUGUCUCCAACAGAAGGAAAAAGAAAAGAGGUGGGGAAGGGAAAAAGCGACUGCAGAACCACAGUGUGAGACAGCAAAACAGAGGCGGCCGAAGCGCGUGCCCUACUUUAGGAGAUGCUGAUGCGUUCGUAACCGGAGUCGGCUGCAGGGAGCAGGGAUCCCCCCCUGCCCUGGCAUCCAUGCAGUGAGCACUACCCGGGUUUGAGGGAGAAGAUGACAAGGGUGAUAAAAUUAAUUAGCAAAGCAAUCCUCCGGCCGCACCGAGCGGCUCCGUGCGUCACCCAGCAGCGACGGCUUCAUCUCCCGGCGCAGAGGGACGCGCUGCUGCCGGAGGUUAUCACGGGGGAUGUGACAGGCACAAUUGUUUCCAUUUCACGAUUCUGCAUGACGGAGCCAGACAGGUUAUUGAAACAACAAUUUUCUGGCUAACACACGCCUGCCAGUCAAGUGAAUUAGGAAAUGCAGGCUCUGCUCACGUCCUGGGGUUAUAUUAAAUCCCAGCCCAGCUCCUGGGGCACAGAGGUCUGCGAUGUGACCCAUUGGCAGUGCGACGACCUCCGAGCGGUUGGCAAAGGGAACUGUCCCUGUGCAUACAGACAGAGCCACAGACACCCUUCAGACCGGGGCGUCCCAGGGGGGCUCCGUCCCCUCUGUGCACGGAGGGGCUGACAGAUAAAAGUGCCCCCGUUUGUUUGGAGCGAUGUCGUUAACCAUUAGCACAGCCGGCUGGCACAGCUCAUAAUUCAUCGCCACGGGGUCUGGUGUGGCCCUUCUGUUCCGGGGGAUGACGGGAAGGUGUUUGUUUCCAAUCACAAAAAGACUUAUUUUCUGGGAGACAAAUAAGGACCACAUGGCCAUCUGCACCCCGGGUCACCAAAGUGGUCCCAUGGAGGACCUGCAGAAGCGAAGCGGGAGGGCUGCGUGAUUCCCAUCCAUUAAUCUCAGCCUGACGCAGCGGCCGCCCAUCGAUCUGCUCAUUCAUCAAUACCCCACUCACACCGGAGCCAUGUAAGCAAGCCAUUCAAAUUAACACAGACAGAUCUCUAAUAGUCACCGCUGCUCUCGGAAGGAACAACGCAGCUUUCUUUCCAAAUGCUGAGGCAGUAAAUUAAAAGGAUCAGUUUCUUGAUUGGACUUUUCCUGCAGCUGUGGGGGCAGCAGCCCAUGCAGGGAUAGGGGAACCACUGGGAGCAUCCUUCCCACGGCAAUGAGAUCCAAGCUCCCCUUGGGAGCAAUGGGAGCUAUCGGUGCGCCACAGGGGAUGACCUGCAGCCACAUUCUGAGCACUGCUGCUGGGAAUGAACCCCUCACCCUGCGCCCAAGAGGGGCAGAGACGAGGCUGCUCCUUUUGCUUCCCCACCAGCAGCAACGUGAGGCUGUGCUGCAGUGAAUGCUGCUCCAUUUGCUCUACUUUGAUUAUUCACCAUCCCUGUGCCAUCAGCUCUGCCCCACGGCCGUGCUGGGGAGACCCUCAGCCCCCACCCCCCAUUGCCACCCCACAGCAGCCCCGCAGCAGGGGGCGAUGCGCGGUGACGGAUAACCUCGGAGGUGCUGCGCCCGCUGCUUUUACAACGCUUAAUGAGGUAAACUAAUUGUAAAUUGCGGCAGAAUGGGAAACUUAAUGACACUUCAGCUCUUGAAAGGAGUUUAAACACCGAGGGAUUCACUAAUAUUUUUCGGCGCUGGGAAGUCGGGGGAGCUCAGAGCUUACACGGAUGGGCUUCCAUGGCCCCAAUGCUCCUCCCAUCCACCCGUGGGCAGCUCAAUGAGGUCUCUGUGCCGGUGGGGACGGAGUGGCAGAGCUGCUUUUCUCAGCUGAGCUGAGAGUGUGGGGUUUUUCCAUCUGCCAUCCUCCUGGCCGAGAACCGGGGCUGAGUUUUCUGUGAGCUGAUGCAGAACCUCUCCUCGCCCUUUGAUAGACCUGGGAAGUUUUGCACAUUCAAAUAUUGACCUUUUGUAAAUCCUUUCGGGCUCCCCCGGGGCUGCGGGGAGCAGGAGCUGGCAGGACACGAGCGAGCUGAAUAUCAUUCACUUUAAGCAGCCCGGAGAUGUUCAGGGGCAUAAAACCUUUCAGAGCUCCACAUGGCAUUUUUCAACACGCUGCUUCCCUCCGGAAAGGUCAGGUGGGAGUUAAACCAGGGGCCCUUCUUCCCUCCGUCUUAAUCAGCCCAUGCACACUCUUAUCACAUCUCCCUCCUGUCUGCUGUCUGAUACAACUGAUAAUCGUUCAGAUGCUGACUCAGCUCCUCCCUCUGCCCUGGGCUGCACUGAGCAGUGCAGGCAGUGCCCGGCACACCAUCCCUGCAGCAGCAGCUCUGCUCAUUCUGCUCACUUCCUCUAUGGGCUCUGCAGCUGUCCUGUGCUGCGUGGGGUUAUCCCACACCCCCGUGGCUGCAGGUUGGACAGAGCUGGGCUGUGAGCUGCUGCGGGCUCUCAGGAUGGGGCACGGCAAUGGGAACUGAACACAGUCCACCUCUGCUCCCACUUCACACCGUGCCCAGGCCCAGGGCUUCAUUCCCAUUCUGCCCAUGAGUCAUUCCCAAAGCUGCCUCCUCGCCUCCCUCCUCCCUUCUGCUGAUUACUCAGACGGAUGUGCCAUCGUAUCACCAGUGACGAUGACGAACUGAUAUUUAGACAACUGCUUUCCAAGAGGGCCAUUCCCAGGUGUGAGCAGUGGGGCAGGAGGGGCAGGAAGGGCAAGAGGAGCAGGAGGACCCCUCUGCCGUUCAGCUCCCAGUGCCCCUCGCUCCUCUGCUGGGCAAUGUCAGU